UCGUAACGUGCGAGAAACUGAAAAUGAUUUUAAUUAAAAAUUUUAAAAUCGAAUCUUUAAUUGAAUUUUCCAAAUACGAAGUAUUAGUCUGCCUUUGUAUUCGGACGAGUGAAUAUCGAAGACCCCUCAAGAUGUCUUUCUUACUUAAAUUUGAAGUACGAUCUUUGGUUACGCGUGACGUCAACAAAAUCGGAUCUUUGAUCAACUUUCAUAGUUAUUGAAUCAGUCUUCCUUUCUACUCGGACGAGUGAACAUCGAAGCUGCAAUUAUCAACGAAUAAUUAAAAACAUCAUUGCAAUCGCGCGCGAAGCAACGAUGAAAUCGAGUUUUUGUAUCGUUAAAAUAAAAAACAAAAAUUCGCGAAGUAGAAGCAAUGUUUGUUCGUUCGCGUUUCGCGAUUUAAACCAUAAGUGUUUUUGCAUAGACUGCGUGCAAUGCAGUUCUUAGAGUCAGUGUUUGUUCGUAAAGUUAUUUGCUUUCUUUACAGUCGCACAGACUGUAUUUAUAAUAUAUAGUAGAGUUUCGCGAAAUAAAUUCAGUGAUCGUUCGUUAAUAAAUAAUAAUAUCGCGAAUUAGAGUCAGUGCAUCACCGAAGAGGAU